UUAUAUUUAUAUUGUAAAAUUAAUUUGUUUUACUUUAUACAUUGAAAAACGCGACACAAAACCGAUCAAUAAGCAUUGCGGAAAAAUUGCAUUCCUAGAAUAAAACCAAUUCAGAGGCGUCCUGAACAGUUUUCCUGACAUUAUUUCAACACGAAUGCGAUUGGUUAACAUCUAUGCAAAAGAUGAGCAAUGACCAGAUGACCGAUGUGAAUCGUCGCACCAAUGUUAGUUCCUAUGC